GGCAUGAUAGCUCAGUCGGUUAGAGCGUGGUGUUGAUAAUGCCAAGGUUGCAGGUUUGAUCGCCGUAUGGGACAGCUA
rnacentral:tRNA from 1 species